rnacentral:piRNA from 1 species
AGGGAAGUCAGAUCCAAAGGUGACUGCCACA